CUUGUUUCAGUUUUAUCACUUACAAAAUUUUUGAAGAUAUGCAUACCUCCUUGGAUUUAAAUAAUAUCACAACCAGACAUAGGUAUUGGCCUUGUCAAUUUCUAUAAACCUAUAGAUUAUAUGUAGUCUUAUUUCAAGUCUUAUCUGUUUUAUAGUUUUCAACAAUUUUCCCUUUCAAGACUAUAUUAUUAGCAACCUCUAAUCUAAACUGUGUAAAUGGAUGUGGACCCUAAAGUUCCUUUGGUAAAAAUUGAAAAACCACAAUGAAACCAUUCGAACAUUAUAGUAACAAAAUACUACAUACAAGAUAACUAAAAUUUUGAAUUUUGUUGAAAAUUAAAUUCGACACUGACCCUUCCUCACCA
rnacentral:lncRNA from 1 species